rnacentral:rRNA from 1 species
GUGGGGAAUCUUCCGCAAUGGACGAAAGUCUGACGGAGCAACGCCGCGUGAGUGAAGAAGGUUUUCGGAUCGUAAAGCUCUUUCGUUAGGGACGAACGUGCUCUUUGUGAAGAAUGAGGAGUAAUGACGGUACCUAAAUAAGAAGCCACGGCUAACUACGUGCCAGCAGCCGCGGUAAUACGUAGGUGGCAAGCGUUACUCGGAAUCACUGGGCGUAAAGCGCGCGUAGGCGGCCGUGUAUGUCGAUUGUGAAAGCCCCGGGCUCAACCUGGGAACUGCAGUCGAAACGGCAAGGCUUGAAUGUGGGGGAGGUUGGGGGAAUACCUAGUGGAGAAGUGAAAUUCGUAGAGAUUAGGUGGAACACCAGAGGCGAAGGCGCCUGACUGGCCAAACAUUGACGCUGAGGCGCGAAAGCGUGGGUAGCAAACAGGAUUAGAAACCCGUGUAGUCC